AAACGGAGGAAGUGGGGAUGACGUCAAAUCAUCAUGCCCUUAUGUUCUGGGCUACACACGUGCUACAAUGGCCGGUACAGACGGAGGCGAAGCCGCGAGGCGGAGCAAAUCCGAAAAAGCCGGUCUCAGUUCGGAUUGCAGGCUGCAAUUCGCCUGCAUGAAGUCGGAAUCGCUAGUAAUCGCAGGUCAGCAUACUGCGGUGAAUACGUUCCCGGGCCUU
rnacentral:rRNA from 1 species